CCACGGGUGGCAGCAGUGGGGAAUAUUGGACAAUGGGCGAAAGCCUGAUCCAGCCAUGCCGCGUGUGUGAAGAAGGCCUUCGGGUUGUAAAGCACUUUCAGUGGGGAAGAAAGCCUUGGGGCUAAUACCCUCGAGGAAGGACAUCACCCACAGAAGAAGCACCGGCUAACUCCGUGCCAGCAGCCGCGGUAAUACGGAGGGUGCGAGCGUUAAUCGGAAUUACUGGGCGUAAAGCGCGCGUAGGCGGUCUGAUAAGCCGGUUGUGAAAGCCCCGGGCUCAACCUGGGAACGGCAUCCGGAACUGGCAGGCUAGAGUGCAGGAGAGGAAGGUAGAAUUCCCGGUGUAGCGGUGAAAUGCGUAGAGAUCGGGAGGAAUACCAGUGGCGAAGGCGGCCUUCUGGACUGACACUGACGCUGAGGUGCGAAAGCGUGGGUAGCAAACAGGAUUAGAUACCCCAGUAGUC
rnacentral:rRNA from 1 species